AUAGCAACAGCAGCGUAGCUGAACAUCUUACGGAUGGCCCAGGGCUCCAAAGGCUCGUUUCCUAAGUGAGAGAGAGCCUGGCUGAAGCUGUAUUACCAUUCAUUCUCCAGCCUCCGAAGUCUCAAAGCAUCACUUCCACCAUACUCUAACUGUCAAGACAAACACAAAGGCCCAGAAAGAAGAAUACACUAUCGAUGUUCCUUUUAAACAAGUAUUUGAGUAAAAGCGAUGUUUCCAAUGUGUGUCAGAAAGUGAAUACUUGUAUAUUUCCGCACGGUUAGAGCUGAGCUUUCCGAGCAAAUUUUACUGGGACCCGGUUGAAAGACAGGUCUUGGAAGUGAAAUGAUGACUGACUAGAUGAAACUGCCAGACUGUCUUCUGAAGUGGCUAUAAUAUUUACACUCCCAUCAGCAGUGUAGAAGGGGUCUCACUAUGUUGUCUGGAGUGCUGUGGUGGAGUGGAGUGGCUAUUCACAGGAUUCUUGGAAUGGACUGUAAAAGUCUGGAAUCAAGACUUUGUGUUUCCUCUCUAACAUGUAAAGAGCUUAGAAGUUGUCGCUAUUGCCCUUACAACAAAAUGAAGCUGGACAAACUGAAAAUCAAUGACUUUUCUUGGACUCACUAUACAGCUGAGUUUGCAGAGUAAACCACUACCCUGAAAUCUGGAAAGGCAGGUGCACCCACAGAUCCUCAGCUGAGAUCCAAUUACCUGAAAUAGAAGCUGCCAUUAGGAACACUUAAAAG
rnacentral:lncRNA from 10 species